UACGUAGGCAGCAAGCGUUGUUCGGAAUUACUGGGCGUAAAGAGUGUGUAGGCGGUGCUCUAAGUUUGGUGUGAAAUCUCCCGGCUCAACUGGGAGGGUGCGCCCGAAAACUGGAAUGCUUGAACAUGGGAGAGGAAAGCGGAAUUCCUGGUGUAGCGGUGAAAUGCGUAGAUAUCAGGAGGAACACCUGCGGUGUAGACGGCUUUCUGGACCAUUGUUGACGCUGAGACACGAAAGCGUGGGUAGCAAACAGG
rnacentral:rRNA from 1 species